UAGACUGCAUCCUCUUAAAAGUUUUUCUUUGUUUGGACAAUGCCACACUCUACUCAGUUACUCACUCACAAUCUCUCUGACCACUUUCGUACUCCCCACCGCCCCCUCAGAUUUGUCUGGUCACUUCCCCACCGCCCAUCACAAUUCUCCCCCGUUCCCCAUCCUACCAUGGUCGUCAGCUUCCUCUCUCCACCGCCGGCUCUCCCAGGUCAGGCCGCCACUCCCCUUCGUCCCCACUGCCGGCGCGAGGUCCGCAGCCCCUGCUCUUCCUCCUCUUCAUGUUGAAUCUGGUCGCGGAAGUGGCCGAGGAGGCCCUCGAGCUCGGCAUGCUCGCGCGAGCAAUCCAACGGUAGGCGCCGUCAGAGGCGGACGCGGAUGCACGGGACUCGCACGCCCCUGCUCUACCCUGCUCCCUCUUCGAGUCUGGUCGCCGAAGUGCUCGAGGAGGCGCUAGAGCUCGGCAUGCUCGCUGGCGAAGCCGGCCCCUUCUCUCCUCCUGAUGCGAGGGAGGUCCCCCAUCGCCCCCACGGACAAGGCGCGGAUGGAGGCGUACCAGAAAGUGCAGGAGUUCGACUUGUCCAGCGGCGCUGAUUGGAAGACGACCGCCAAGCACAAAGGAGAGUUUGGAUAAAUCUGCUUGCAAGGCUCUCGAUGAUGUAUUCACUUUCAACAAUUGCACCAGGGUGUGGUCAGUUGGAGAAGACAUUACUAUGAUUGUUUUUUCAGGUGAUGAAUUGUAACCUUAUAUCCUUUAUUACUUGAAAUCCAAAAUCAUUGGAAACAGUCCGUAAUUACUUUGGAGAGAAUCCUUUAUUAUUUUCUGUCUUGUUCAUGUUCAGCAUAGGAUGUAUAUCAUUAAAACCAUCAUGGUAUAUUAUUGUUCAUGUUCAGCAUAGGA